rnacentral:rRNA from 1 species
CGCGUAGGCGGUGCCACAAGUCACUUGUGAAAUCCCCGGGCUUAACCCGGGGCCUGCAGGCGAAACUGUGGUGCUGGAGUAUGGGAGAGGUGCGUGGAAUUCCCGGUGUAGCGGUGAAAUGCGUGAUAUCGGGAGGAACACCUGUGGCGAAAGCGGCGCACUGGACCAUAACUGACGCUGAGGCGCGAAAGCUAGGGGAGCAAACA